UACGGAGGGCGCAAACGUUACUCGGAAUCACUGGGCAUAAAGGGCAUGUAGGCGGCCCGACCAGUCAGAUGUGAAAUCCUUCGGCUCAACCGAAGAACUGCAUUUGAUACUGUCGGGCUCGAGGAUGGUUGGGGUAAGCGGAACUCCUGGUGGAGCGGUGAAAUGCGUAGAUAUCAGGAGGAACACCAGUGGCGAAAGCGGCUUACUGGACCAUUACUGACGCUGAGGUGCGAAAGCUAGGGUAGCGAAC
rnacentral:rRNA from 1 species